GCCAUUAAGCGGAAAUCACUAUCGAUAUCUUCCUGUUUGGAAACUGAUACUGGUAUCUAUGGCUAUGUUGGCCAAGUUUCAAGUGAACGGACCACGAUUGAUGGCUCAUAUCUGAACCCCAGGGGUCAGAAAGCUUAGGCAGGAAGAUAAAGGAGUGUUCAAGGUCGUCCUGGCCUACACAGUUAGUUCAAGAGAGAGAUUGAGGAAUCUGGACGUGGGAGAUGGCUUAAUGUAGAAAAACUCUUACUGAGCCACUGUAUUCUGAAUUCAUAUUCUUCAAACCAUUAUACAACAAGGUACAGAAGAGCCCGUCAAUAAUUCUUGAACUUCAGCAGAGACAUGGGAAUUGGAAACAAGAAACUAGAAGGCCAGCCUAGUCUACAGAGAAAAGAAACUGGAGGGCUAGCGUGUCCUCCAGAGUGCUGAGAAACAGGAGACAAGGAUCAAAUAAAGAGGAUGAUCAUCUUACUAUCUCGACCAAGCUACCCUGGAACUUGCUCCAACUCUGGAGUGCUGGGAUUAAAGGCAGGAGUGCUGGGAUGUAAAAGGAGAGACCAGCAUGGGGCCCCUGGCUCGAGCUCUGCCUGCUCUUUCUAAUCCUGCUGCAGAAGUUGUUCUGGCCUGGACGCUUGCUUCUAGAUCUCAGCGAGACCGUGUGUUUCCCAUCACCACAUGGAAAUGUGUAGACGCAUCUUCCUGAGGCUUUAUCUGCUCUUCAGAGGUGGAAACCCGUUGACCUACAAAAUGCUGUACCUUCGGUCCCACUCUGUGUUCUUCACCUUGGUGAAUAAUUCAUUCAACAAAUAUACUGUGCAGCUAGCGAGUGCUAGGCUCGAUAGACUCGAGGAAUAAAAGAUAAAUAAAUGCCGGCUGCCAUCAAGAAGACUGGAGGGAGGAAGGAAACAAGAAAAAAAAAAAGUCAAGGAAAACAGCCGCUGAUAUGACAGUGUCCUUAGCUUAGGUUUUCAUACCCGUGAGGGAAAGGGAUGAUCGUCCCCUGAACAGAGGAGAAAAGUAAAGUCUGAAAGGAAGGCGCAUUGCCAUGCCUCCCCUGAGAAAUGCAAAGAGAAGUAAAAUAACACCUGGUUUCAGGAAUUGCCAAAACCUAGAGGAUGCAGCCUGCAAUUUGUUGUGAAUCUGAGAGAGGGUAAACAUGUUUCAAUACAGAGAGUAGAAUUUAAAAUGCAAAUCACUUCAAUGAACAGGAAAAGCUCCACAGAAACCUAGAGGUUAAACUAUUAAAACGAUCACCAUCAUAAUACACCCCCCCACACGCCUAUUCUCUCAGUCGGUUUUCUCAGGCCUUGUGAGGUAGGAGGGUAGGCAUUCCGAUUUCCACGCCGCUGAAGUGGAAACAACCCUCUAGGCUGUUCAUAGAGAAUAAUGCGAUGUGGAUGAAAUUGACCGGCCCAAGAAGGGGGUGGGGUGCUGUUUUACAGUUGGAGUGAGCUGUGGUGUUGUCCCCAACGAGCUGUGUGUGAGACUUUCGGCAAGGCAAUUAACCUUUUCUGGCUACAAUUUUCUCAUCUGUAAAAAUAGAGGUUCCAGAUCUUUCCUUCUCAAAGGCUCUUCAGUUGGGAGAUGACGCCUCAGCACCUGGUCACAGGGCUCUCAGCCCAGUGUGUGGCUUGGUCAGCCUCAGAGGCAACCCUCCAUCCCAGUACUUCCUAGUGUUUCAGGCUUGCCCUGGCAAUAUCAAGGCUAGAAGGAAACGUCUUGAUUUCCUGGUCAUAUGGUUUGGUCUCAUACACAAUUUAAUUUGUAAGUGUGCAUGUUCACGUUUGUAUGUGGAGACCAGAGAUCAAUGUCAAGUUUUACUUGUUUGUUGAGACAGGAUUUUUCUCUGACCUCAGACUUAUCAAUAGUAUCCUGACUCCAUCAAGCCCCAGGACUCUAUCUACCCGUCCCAGCCUCCCCAGCACUGGAAAGGAGCACCUGGCACCAUCCCUGACUCUGUUGCAUGAUGUGGAAUUACAGUUUCCUCUGUAAACUGUGAAGACCAUUGGUUAAUAAAGAAGCUGCUUUCUGCCUCCGCCUACCAUUGCAUAGGUUAGAACGAGCAGACUCAGGACCUCCUGCUUGUUGGCAAGCACUUUACAACAUAGGAUAAAUAUUAAUUGAUUUUUAGACCUCUAUUUUAAUUAUAGUCAGGCCAAGCAGAUUGGAAGGUUGGUGAAUGGGCCUUGCUAGUUGGAAACUCUGAGUCUAAUGACCCGUGGCUGGAGAGACACUGGAGAAAAUUCUAGGUGAAUGUAAAUGACAAGCCCAGACACGAUAGGAAUUUGGGACUGCACUGUAGUCUUUCUGGCCUGGAGAGCUAGGA